UACGUAGGGUGCAAGCGUUGUCCGGAAUUAUUGGGCGUAAAGAGCUCGUAGGCGGUCUGUCGCGUCGGCUGUGAAAACUCGGGGCUCAACUCCGAGCUUGCAGUCGAUACGGGCAGGCUAGAGUCCUGGAGAGGAAGGUGGAAUGCUUGGUGUAGAGGUGAAAUUCGUAGAUAUCAAGCGGAACACCGGUGGCGAAGGCGGCCUUCUGGACAGUGACUGACGCUGAAGACGCGAAAGCGUGGGGAGCAAACAGG
rnacentral:rRNA from 1 species